UGGUCCUACGGGGCGCAGCAGUGGGGAAUAUUGCACAAUGGGGGAAACCCUGAUGCAGCGACGCCGCGUGAAGGAAGAAGUAUUUCGGUAUGUAAACUUCUAUCAGCAGGGAAGAAAAUGACGGUACCUGACUAAGAAGCCCCGGCUAACUACGUGCCAGCAGCCGCGGUAAUACGUAGGGGGCAAGCGUUAUCCGGAUUUACUGGGUGUAAAGGGAGUGUAGGCGGCGAUGCAAGUCAGAAGAGAAAGCCCGGGGCUCACCUCCGGUACUGCUUUUGAAACUGUGU
rnacentral:rRNA from 1 species